rnacentral:rRNA from 1 species
UGGUGGAGUGAUUUGUCUGCUUAAUUGCGAUAACGAACGAGACCUUAACCUGCUAAAUAGCCCGUGCCGCCUAGGCGGCACGCCGGCUUCUUAGAGGGACUAUCGGCUCAAGCCGAUGGAAGUUUGAGGCAAUAACA